GGGGUUGUGGCUCAAUGGUAGAGCACUUGCCUAGCAAGUGUGAGGCCCUGGGUUCAAUUCUCAGCACCA
rnacentral:tRNA from 1 species